UGGCCACCCCGAGUCCCAGCUGUUAAACUGUGUUUCUGUCGGCGAUGUUAGCGAUGUAGUUCAUACGCAUUUUUGAGGUGAGAAUCUCAAGUAAUUGAAGUAGUGACUCGGAAAGGCUUGGGAAGCAUUUGUUAUUGAGUCGGAAAGUUGAUUCUUCAAAGAAAGGUCGAAAUUUAAUGCUGAUGCUCUUUUAAUUAAAAUUCAAAUGUACGCAUUUUUU